rnacentral:tRNA from 1 species
CUCGCCGCCGGGGCGUGUACCUGGGGCCCUUUUCGAGAGGGUCAGGUUCGAAAAAGUGAACACCCCGCGACUGAUCAUUUCAGCCCGGUAAGU